GACAGAGGGUGCAACCGUUGUUCGGAAUUACUGGGCGUAAAGCGCGUGUAGGCGGCUAAGUAAGUCGGGCGUGAAAUCCCACGGCUCAACCGUGGAAGUGCACUCGAAACUGCAUAGCUAGAGUCCUGGAGAGGAAGGUGGAAUGCUUGGUGUAGAGGUGAAAUUCGUAGAUAUCAAGCGGAACACCCGUGGCGAAGGCGGCUCUCUGGUACGUGACUGACGCUGAGACGCGAAAGCGUGGGGAGCGAACAGG
rnacentral:rRNA from 1 species